CAGUCGUGCCUGCGGGGUAAUCAGCCUUUUGGGUGUGAUUAUGUGGGGCGUGAGGGAGUUAAUCACCCUCACCUUUGCAUAUUCGUGCACUUUUGGGUGUACUUGCCCGUGUGGUAGGUUAACAUCAAUUUUGAUCAUCAUAAAAUGAUUGGAGGAAUGUAGCUUCGAUCUCGUAUUGAAGUGUUAUAGCCUUUGGUAGAUGUGAUGAUCGGGAUUGAGGAUUGCAACGGAUACCCUUCGGGGCUACCCGUCUGAUCUCUG
rnacentral:rRNA from 1 species